rnacentral:lncRNA from 1 species
CUGGAACUUUCUACUGUCCGGCAUGAGCCUUCCUCACAACUGAUCAUUGUAAUUUCCAUACAUAGAUUUCAAAUUGAGUCACAAGAAUUAAAAGCACAGGUUCUGGAGAAUGUGGAAGACGAUCAACAGGGAAGGAGGUGGGGGCGUGUGGAGAUGGUCGUUCACAUGUUAACACUGGAGAUCUUCCUGCGUCCUCAUCACUUUUCCUGCCUACAAGCAACUCACACUAUUUCUUCCUUGGCCACAAGAUGGAGAUUUUUUUUUAGAGAAGAAAGAGGGAAAAAGAGGAGCAGAGUCACCAUGAGGUUCACCAGGCGUGGAGUAUAGAUGAAAGGGCUCAAGAGUGGGGCUGCAGAGUGUGGGUCUGGUGAUGCAGGGGCAGACAAGCAGCCCAGGAGGCUCUCCCAGAAAGCCUUGUUACAACCUGCCAUAACAAAAUUCCGCAGACUGGGUGGCUUACUUCUUCGUGGUUCUGGAGGCCGGAAGUCCAAGACCAAGCAUCGCAGAGUCACCAAGAAAGCGAGGCUGGAGCUCCACUCUCUCUGUGGGUUUGUCGUCACGCAGUGCAGCUUUCUCACAGAGUGGAUCAAAGACUCACCACACUUUAAAAAAAGGAAGAAGAAAGAAGAAGAAGAAGGAGAAGGAGAAGGGGAAGGACAAAAAUUUCAGAUAAGUUGACUCCUGGGGGCUGGCGCAGCUCCACGGGACGCCCUCCACAGCUGGUGGCCUCGGCUUCUCCUGAAAAAUGCUUCAUUCACUCCGGCAGCUGUGCCCUCGGGGGCUGCCACGUGCCUGAAACUGAGGCAUGGAGAGCCCAUCUCUGCAGCAGAACCAGCAGCAGUGGGUACAGGAGAGCCAGUGACACUCAGGCCCGGGACCACGCCAGCCUCGCCAGGCAGAGACGGAGCACAGAGCCCAGGUGACCUGCACACUCAGGUCACAGAAACAACUGAAGCCCAGGCCCCCAGGCUCAGGCCGGAGACCCCAGCGCUGGCCUUGCUGUUGCAGGAGUGGGUGGGCUUCUUUUCUCCCUGCUGUGCCACACCAGACUCACUGCCCACCGGGGCUUUCGCCGGAGAGAGAAAAUACUGAGGUAAACGAGGCCUGCUUGGGCUGUUGAGGUCCCUGAAAGUCCGUGGCUGUAAACUCGUUCAGCAGUUACAACACAGAGCUUGUGGAACAUGAGGGAAGCCCCUGGGAGUUGAUCGAAACAUGUAUAAGGAGAGAGUGUAAUAAUUAAUGGUAAUAAAAUCAUAAUAAUGCCACUUACCACGCACCAGGCACUGUCCUAGGACUCUGCGUAUAUUAACUCAUUUCAUUCUCACAAUAAACU